rnacentral:rRNA from 1 species
CGGGUGAGUAAUACAUCGGAACGUGCCCAAUAGUGGGGGAUAGCCCGGCGAAAGCCGGAUUAAUACCGCAUACGACCUACGGGUGAAAGCAGGGGACCGCAAGGCCUUGCGCUAUUGGAUCGGCCGAUGUCAGAUUAGGUAGUUGGUGGGGUAAAGGCCUACCAAGCCUACGAUCUGUAGCUGGUCUGAGAGGACGAUCAGCCACACUGGGACUGAGACACGGCCCAG